rnacentral:rRNA from 1 species
GAUGAACGCUGGCGGCGUGCCUAAUACAUGCAAGUCGAGCGAACAGACGAGGAGCUUGCUCCUCUGACGUUAGCGGCGGACGGGUGAGUAACACGUGGAUAACCUACCUAUAAGACUGGGAUAACUUCGGGAAACCGGAGCUAAUACCGGAUAAUAUAUUGAACCGCAUGGUUCAAUAGUGAAAGACGGUUUUGCUGUCACUUAUAGAUGGAUCCGCGCCGCAUUAGCUAGUUGGUAAGGUAACGGCUUACCAAGGCGACGAUGCGUAGCCGGCCUGAGAGGGUGAGCGGCCACACUGGAACUGAGACGCGGUCCAGACUCCUACGGGAGGCAGCGGUAGGGAAGCUGCCGAAAUGGGCGAAAGCCUGACGGAGCAACGCCGCGUGGGUGAUGAAGGUCUUCGGAUCGUAAAACUCUGUUAUUAGGGAAGAACAAAUGUGUAAGUAACUAUGCACGUCUUGACGGUACCUAAUCAGAAAGCCACGGCUAACUACGUG